CUGGUUGCUGGGGUGAAAGGUCGUUACCCAGGCUGCCCGCUCUCUUUGGCGCGAGUAUUUUUCUUUCCCGCGGGUUCGCGCGAGCGGCUUGUCUCGGGCAGUGCGGAGUUUUCGCGAAUAUUCCUUCAGCUGGCGGGAGGUGGAGGGAAACGGCGGAUUCAACGACCAAGGGAUCGUCCAUACGGAGUGUGCGAGACGGACGAUGUGCGGGUAGAGGAGGCCAGGCCGGCGAAUUGCAAGUACAAGAAUGAUGGCUGCUGCUCACCCAGUAGUUUCUGGCUUACUGCCGCUGUUGGAAACCUUGGAAGAUAUAUCUGUUUCAUCCACAGAGCAAGUGGAUGCUUACCUUACAAUUGCCAGUCGUCUGAGUGGAGAGGAUGGGAAAGAAUUUGCAACUGCAGUUGGCAAACAGUUUACUCGCCUCUGUGAAGUGUUCAAA